GGAGGAAUACAUCUGGCGAUUGCAGGUGGCACAGCCAGAAGCAGCAGAUCUGAGCUCCUGGUACUAGGGGCAGGAAACUCAGAAGUCAUAUAUCAUAAGUACAAUACGUAGCCAGAGGAGAGGACGAAUACGUUUGAGCUCAGCUGGUACUGAAGGCAGGAUACUCACAAGUCAUACAUCACAAGUAGGAAACUUACGUGAUAAUGCUUGGUUCUUCUAAGCUAGAGGCUAUUUAUCUUCAGAGACUAAUCGACCACAUCGUUCUCCCAAUUCUCAUCUACGGAAGGCUGAAAGCUCAAAAGGCAUAAAUCAUAAUUACAGCACAAGAUCCUAUUCAAUUGCUUUGUGAGUUGAAGCUACGGUACUGAAUCCAGGAACUCAGAAGUCACACAUCACAAGUAGGAAAUAAACGUAAUUAGAGUUGAUUCGUCCGAGCUAGAGGCUAUGGUAUGUUCAUCUUGAGGAACUAAUCAGCCAUCUGUUCGAGAUCCUCAUCUGCUCCUUUGUGAAUCGAGGCUAUGGAACAAGAAGGCUAGACGAGACUGUUUGCGGCCACAGUUGUGCAGCUCAAAGACUAAAAGGCUAAAGAGCUCAGCUUCAGGCUAGCAGUCUACCUGUUUUCCCAGGUCAGACAUCAAUAUCAUCAACUACUGUUUCA